GACGAACGCUGGCGGCGUGCUUAACACAUGCAAGUCGAACGGAAAGGCCCUGCUUUUGUGGGGUGCUCGAGUGGCGAACGGGUGAGUAACACGUGAGUAACCUGCCCUUGACUUUGGGAUAACUUCAGUAAACUGGGGCUACUACCGGAUAGGACCUCCUGCUGCAUGGUGGGGGUUGGAAAGUUUCGGCGGUUGGGGAUGGACUCGCGGCUUAUCAGCUUGGUGGUGGGGUAGUGGCUUACCAAGGCUUUGACGGGUAGCCGGCCUGAGAGGGUGACCGGACACAUUGGGACUGAGAUACGGCCCAGACUGCUACGGGAGGCAGCAGUGGGGAAUAUUGCACAAUGGGCGGAAGGCUGAUGCAGCAAAGCCGCGUGCGGGAUGAGGGCCUGCGGGUUGUAAACCGCUUUCGCCUGUGACGAAGCGUGAGUGACGGUAAUGGGUAAAGAAGCACCGGCUAACUACGUG
rnacentral:rRNA from 1 species